UAGAAAAAUUUAUUAGGAUAAAAGUUAUAGAAAAUAAAAUUUUCUACAAGUUUUACGCGAUAUAAUUUUUGUCAAAAAUCAAAAACGGCGGAGUUAUUCACUAAAACGUGUUUUACCUUUAAUCCAAGAUGGCGGCUUUGGCUCAAGGUCGAUUUUCCCGAAAAACUGGUUUUAAGCUCUCAGUGAUCCCCUCUACCGUCCUAUUAAAAAAAUUGCACGAUCUAAUUUUUUCCAUUUCAACUUAAUUUUUUGUACAUCCCGACUGGGCUAAGUUUCUCUUUUUCAUAAUGUGAAUUAUGAUUUUUGCACAUUCAGAAAACUGGGACAUGUUGCAUUAUCAUUUUGUUUCAAAAAUUCGUUUUUUUUUCAACAAAAUUACUAUCACUGAAUAAAGAAUAAUUAACAGCUUUUGAAAUAAUUAACACAAAAUAAUUCAUAAUGAACAUGUCGUUCAAAUAAUGAUUAGUUCAUUAUUAUUAUGAACGGAUGGUCACCGUAGCAUGAGUUAUAAAAUUGUUAACCAUGUUUUAAGAUAUACAUAGUGGCUUGUGUUAACCUUUAAAUUACCUACACACAGUCUCUCUACAAAAAAAAAAGAUAAAUUGGUGCUGUUUUUUGCACUCCAAGCAAAACCUGGACCUUAACGGGUCAGACGAACCUCGGGUUCGGAAUCAGCGCAUUGAAAUGCAUAACUGUUGCAGGUGGGCCUAGUUCGCUGUAUAUCGAUAGGUGUGAUGAUGUGUUUUGCGUGAUGAUGUUGCAAGAAAACAUAAACAAUGAUAUUGUGAUUUGAAGUUAAGGUCUGAUAUCAAUUGUCGAACCUCACAAUAUUUAUUUACCUCAGUAUCCACACUUCCACAGUUGUCCUCGAUUGAUUUUUGUCUACUAGAAAUAAAUUUGCUUGUAUUAAAUUGUUCUCAGCUACUGCCAGAGUUCCGUGAAUUCUUUUGUAUUUUUCUAUACUAUGUCCUAUUCAAAGGUUGAGAAAAGGCUUUUCAAGAUUCUUGCCAAAAACAUAAACAUCAUUAUCUACGAAUGACAUUAAGCCAUCCCUAAAAGAUUUCAAUGCCAAGAUUGAAAAGGAACACAUCUUUGAUAGGCUAGUAAACAAAGUCUGCAAAUACGAGACUAAGUCAUUUUGAUUUUACAGGAGAGACUUCUUUUUUAACAUUUGUUUGAGACCUCUGAUUUUCAAGCAUAAUGAUUAACGACUCGGGGAAAACUACGCGUUUUUCAAAACCAAUGAAUCACAAGGAGCAAUUUCAUAGUUGAAAAGCUACAUAACGAAGAGGCUGAUAAAUUAUCUGGAUGGCUGGCGCCAUUUUAUGACUAGUCACCGGUCGCUGCUGUUCGGCCUAGAAAUCGGUAGCUGAUAAAUACUCGCCAGCUGAUGAAUUUUAUGGUUCUGCAUGUUUGAAAUGAGGAAAAUCUUUCGUUGCUUCAACAUGAUAAAAGGGAAUAAAAAUAAACUUACAACUACGUCAGACUUUCUGCGGUUUUGUGAUAUGUAAAUCAUAUUUGGAGUGUGAACUGUGAAAGCCAACAGCAGAUUUUGUUAUCUGCAAAGAAUAUUCUUCUUAUCAAACGAAUGCAAACUAGAAUUUUAUAUCUUUAUUAGCAAAAAGCUUGCAUUUUAAAAUAAACUCAGUCUCAGUCAAGUUCAUAGCGCAGGUUUAAGUAGUCAUUUCAGAUCAUAAACCAUAGUCUAGUUAAGAAUACAUGAAAACAUGAAGAUAUAUCAAAUAAUAAUAUUAUUUGUCGUUUUAUGCCGAUUUGGUGAUGGUGAUGCGAAUAAAUUUAAUAUAAGUUAUGCACAUUUGAACACUUGUAAGGAGUAUACUAUCACAUCUGGAGAUCACAAAUACAAGGAUUACUUUCAAAUCAGCUCCAUGAAUAGUCCUAAGCUAGAAGAUAAUCAACAAAUACAUUUGAAAUUCUUCGUAAUGACUCGAAUGGAUGCACACAUAUUGCUAUCGGAAUUUGAAAAUCAAUCAUAUUCGGAUCCUGUUUACGAAAUUGUUCUUGGUGGUUAUGGAAAUUCUCGCUCCGACAUACGUUUACAAAAUUUUAAUGUAGUAGCUCACGUAAUGACACCGAACCUAUUAUCGACUUUUGAGCCAAUGCCGAUUGAAAUCAUU